GUGAAAAACAUCAAGCCAUUGGUUUGUAGCUAUGGGCGUGUUCCCCCGCGGACAUGCCUCAAUGAGCAUUGGGCGCGGUUAGCACCGCUAGCGAAGUAGUAAUGCUAUUCUUUGCAAAAGUGCCAUCAUGCCCCACCAAAUACCCCCAAGUG
rnacentral:misc_RNA from 1 species